CUGAGGUUGUGUGUAGAUAAGCGAUCCACUAGAUCACUAAGUUCGGGCCGGACUAAUUUCAAUUGGUUUUGUUUUUGGGCCGAUUACAACUAUUUUGGGGGGUAUGUGGUAAAUUCUACGGAGUUUAUCAUUUUACUUCUUCUCCGACAUCGCCGGCUUCAACUCGCCGUCCUCCGUCGCAGGUUUUGUUUUGUAGCCACAAAUCAAAGAGGUCAAAUAUGCAUUGUAUGAGAGAUCAGAGAUAUGUGCAUAUGAUAUCAGGAUUUAUUCUUCUGUUCCUAUGGAAAUGAGGGGAAAGAAAAUGGGAAGGAAAAAAUAACAAAAAUUAUAAUACAUU